UUGUGGAGGAGGACGCCGAAGGUGGGGCUAAUGACUGGGGUGAAGUCGUAACAAGGUAGCCGUACCGGAAGGUGCGGCUGGAUCACCUCCUAACAGGGAGACAACAAAAUGUUUAAUAUUAUUAUUUUGUCACCUUAGGUCGAUCGGUAUCUCACAUUCUUAAUUUAUUAAGAAUUUUAUUUCCUAAGUUUUUCUAGGUCACACCCAUUAUUUUCCCUGGGCCAUUAGCUCAGGUGGUUAGAGCGCACCCCUGAUAAGGGUGAGGUCCCUGGUUCAAGUCCAGGAUGGCCCAUAUCUCUAUGUUGGGGGUAUAGCUCAGUUGGUAGAGCGCCUGCUUUGCAAGCAGGAUGUCAGCGGUUCGAGUCCGCUUACCUCCGCCGAUUACCACCUCUUCCAUAAUCGGUAGAAAGGGAAUGUUUUGAGUUGUGAUCAAAUUCUGAACGAAUCUAGCUUCUUAAUAAAAUUAUUAAGAUGCUGGACUCAUUGAAUUAAUUUCAUUGUUUUCAGAGAACCUUGACAACUGCAUAGAUUAUUUUUAAAGACAAUAAGCAUCUUUAAUGAUGCAGAUUUAUUAUUUGUGCGAAUGCAUUAAUAACAAUUCUAUUAAGCUGAUGCUUCAAUUUUGAAGUUAUUGGUCAAGCUACAA
rnacentral:misc_RNA from 1 species